rnacentral:rRNA from 1 species
AUUGAACGCUGGCGGCAUGCCUUACACAUGCAAGUCGAACGGUAACAGGUCUUCGGAUGCUGACGAGUGGCGAACGGGUGAGUAAUACAUCGGAACGUGCCUAGUAGUGGGGGAUAACUACUCGAAAGAGUGGCUAAUACCGCAUGAGAUCUACGGAUGAAAGCAGGGGAUCGCAAGACCUUGUGCUACUAGAGCGGCCGAUGGCAGAUUAGGUAGUUGGUGGGAUAAAAGCUUACCAAGCCGACGAUCUGUAGCUGGGCUGAAAGGACGAUCAGCCACACUGGGACUGAGACACGGCCCAGACUCCUACGGGAGGCAGCAGUGGGGAAUUUUGGACAAUGGGCGCAAGCCUGAUCCAGCAAUGCCGCGUGCAGGAUGAAGGCCUUCGGGUUGUAAACUGCUUUUGUACGGAACGAAAAGCCCUGGGUUAAUACCCUGGGGUCAUGACGGUACCGUAAGAAUAAGCACCGGCUAACUACGUGCCAGCCGCCGCCGUAACAC